GCAUAUCAAUAAGCGGAGGAAAAGAAACCAACAGGGAUUGCCCUAGUAACGGCGAGUGAAGCGGCAACAGCUCAAAUUUGAAAUCUGGCGCAAGCCCGAGUUGUAAUUUGUAGAGGAUGCUUCUGGGUAGCGACCGAUCUAAGUUCCUUGGAACAGGACGUCAUAGAGGGUGAGAAUCCCGUAUGUGACCGGCCCGCACCCUUUACGUAGCUCCUUCGACGAGUCGAGUUGUUUGGGAAUGCAGCUCUAAAUGGGAGGUAAAUUUCUUCUAAAGCUAAAUACCGGCCAGAGACCGAUAGCGCACAAGUAGAGUGAUCGAAAGAUGAAAAGUACUUUGGAAAGAGAGUUAAAAAGCACGUGAAAUUGUUGAAAGGGAAGCGCCUGCAACCAGACUUCGUGGCAGUGUUCCGCCGGUCUUCUGACCGGUUCAUUCUCUGUCGCGAGGCCAUCAUCGUCUGGGCCCGCCGGAUAAGACCUGAGGAAUGUAGCUCACCUUCGGGGGAGUGUUAUAGCCUCUGGUGAUGCGGCGAGGCUCGGGCGAGGUCCGCGCUUCGGCAAGGAUGAUGGCGUAAUGGUUGUCGGCGGCCCGUCUUGAAACACGGACCAAGGAGUCUAACAUCUAUGCGAGUGUUCGGGUGUCAAACCCCUACGCGUAAUGAAAGUGAACGGAGGUGGGAACCGCAAGGUGCACCAUCGACCGAUCCUGAUGUCCUCGGAUGGAUUUGAGUAAGAGCAUAGCUGUUGGGACCCGAAAGAUGGUGAACUAUGCCUGAAUAGGGUGAAGCCAGAGGAAACUCUGGUGGAGGCUCGCAGCGGUUCUGACGUGCAAAUCGAUCGUCAAAUUUGGGUAUAGGGGGCGAAAGACUAAUCGAACCAUCUAGUAGCUGGUUCCUGC
rnacentral:rRNA from 1 species